rnacentral:rRNA from 1 species
CCUACGUGAGGCAGCAGUAGGGAAUCUUCCACAAUGGGCGAAAGCCUGAUGGAGCAACGCCGCGUGGGUGAAGAAGGUCUUCGGAUCGUAAAACCCUGUUGUUAGAGAAGAAAGUGCGUGAGAGUAACUGUUCACGUUUCGACGGUAUCUAACCAGAAAGCCACGGCUAACUACGUGCCAGCAGCCGCGGUAAUACGUAGGUGGCAAGCGUUAUCCGGAUUUAUUGGGCGUAAAGGGAACGCAGGCGGUCUUUUAAGUCUGAUGUGAAAGCCUUCGGCUUAACCGGAGUAGUGCAUUGGAAACUGGGAGACUUGAGUGCAGAAGAGGAGAGUGGAACUCCAUGGGUAGCGGUGAAAUGCGUAGAUAUAUGGAAGAACACCAGUGGCGAAAGCGGCUCUCUGGUCUGUAACUGACGCUGAGGUUCGAAAGCGUGGGUAGCAAACAGGAUUAGAUACCCUGGUAGUC